GGCUUUGCCUCCCAUUCUUCUUCCUCCUGCACAAGCCUUCCCUUCUUCUUCCUCCUGCUCAAAUAUAAUAAACCAAACUCUUAUCUUCAAAUAUGCUUACAAUUCCAUAGCUAUCUCUACAAAAACAUAACCCAGCUCUACAAUCCACCUUCGAACAAAACUACAAAAACAUAAGCAGCCUCCUCUCCUCGACCAGAUCAAGAACACUCCGCAACAGAAUACAACUCCAUGCUCAAAUAAUCGAACUAGGGCUCCAAACAAUCCCACUCAUUUCCCACUAUUUAAUCAGCUUCUACUCCAAAACCAAGCUCCCGUUCGACUCACAACAAGUUUUCGAAGAAACCCAUAUCAAAUCAUCAACCACUUGGAGUUUUGUUUUGUUAUCUCAUCUUUCGCCCAGAACGAACUCCCGGUUCUUGCGUGCUACUAAAGCACAUCAGCUGCGAUUCUUUCAAGUUAUGAUGUGGGCCGGUGUGUGGAUUGUUAUGCGUUGAAGAUUGCUUAUGAUGGUGAUGUGUUUGUUGCGAGUUAGGUGGUGGAUAUGUAUGCUAAAUGUGGGAGGAAUGGAGAUGCACGUAAGGUGUUUGAUGAAAUGCCUGUGAGGAAUGUGGUGUCUUGCAGUGGGAUGAUUUAUGGACAAAGAGGAAGAAGAACAGUAAAAGUGGCUGAAUGGAGCACGGCGUAUUGCGUCCCGCAGAUAGGAGUCAUAUCGGACGACAUAUAUCUCUUUUGAAAUUCAUGAGGUUCGGUCAACGAAGCUCUCUGGUGGUCUUUGUCUAGCAACAUGCAUAUGAGGUAUUUUGUAGUUUCAAGAUAUGGUCAAACAUACACACUUUUCCAGAUACGCGUCACUGUUAUCGUCACCACCAGAUAUCCACGCUUUGCGUUCACCGACUCCUCCCAACCUUCGUCGGCAUACAUAGUCAGUGUUAGCAACGAGCGGGAUUUUGGCAUCAAUAACAAAACUGGGAUUGAUUACAGGCCCGAUUAACAAAGGCAUGAGCUUGAAUGAUGAAUGCGAAUCGAAAUAUUGAAUAUGUUGUCGCAUAAACAAAUGAUGCAGACAAUCACUUGAAAGUUUCAACUGUUAAUGUUAUUAAAGGCUAAAUAAAUUCCAGGAAAAGAUAAUAAUUUAUGUGUAGUUAUCCUUUCACUUUUUGCUGUAAGUCAUAUAAUGAAUUAUUAGUGUAUUAGUUAAUAUUAUACGGCUGUAA